rnacentral:rRNA from 1 species
AUUGAACGCUGGCGGCAUGCCUUACACAUGCAAGUCGAACGGUAACGCGGGGCAACCUGGCGACGAGUGGCGAACGGGUGAGUAAUGCAUCGGAACGUGCCCAGUAGUGGGGGGAUAGCCCGGCGAAAGCCGGAUUAAUACCGCAUACGACCUACGGGUGAAAGCGGGGGACCGUAAGGCCUCGCGCUAUUGGAGCGGCCGAUGUCAGAUUAGGUAGUUGGUGGGGUAAAAGCCUACCAAGCCAACGAUCUGUAGCUGGUCUGAGAGGACGACCAGCCACACUGGGACUGAGACACGGCCCAGACUCCUACGGAGGCAGCAGUU